AACCUGGUUGAUCCUGCCAGUAGUCAUAUGCUUGUCUAAAAGAUUAAGCCAUGCAAGUGCGAGUGAUUCGGUGCAUCUCUUGUCAAAGAGGGAAGGCUUUGGAUGACUGCGAAAGGCUCAUUAAAACAGUUAUUGGAUCUGGAUGGUCAGAGGAACAAAAGGAGGAUAAGGGUGUGAAAAUAGAGCUAAAACGAGGGAGGGGGAUCUCGACACGAGGAAUUUAUUGUUUCUCGGAGUGAAGAAGGGAUUUCUAGAAUUUCAUAGAGAUAUGAGAGGGAGCAUGUGAAUAUUUGACCUAUCAACCGGGGAUGGUAGUAUAGAGGACUACGAUGGUGGUGACGGGUGACGGAGGAUCAGGGUUUGGUACCGGAGAGGGGGCCUGAGAGAUGGCCACCACUUCUAAGGAAGGCAGCAGGCGCGAAAAUUACCCAAUGUUGGAACAGUGAGGUAGUGACAAGGAAUAACUGGCAAAGGGUCAAUUCGACUCUUUGUUGGUAAUGGAAGGAGGAUAGAGAGGUUCUUGAGUAACGAUCAGAGGGAAAGUCUGGUGCCAGCAGCCGCGGUAAUUCCAGCUCUGAAAGCGUAUACUAGAGUUGUUGCGGUUAAAAAGCUCGUAGUUGGGAGAAGGAGACAUUGAGAAAAAUAGAGUGUUUAAGGGUGAAGUGGGAGAGCACAGGACGUCCUCCUUUCAUGGUUGUGAAAGGGGAGAGAAUAGAAACAAUAGAGGAUAUUAGUAUUUUAUAGUUAGAGGUGAAAUUCUAUGAUUUAUGAAAGACUAACAGGGGCGAAAGCAUUUAUCUCUUGUAUGUUUAUUGAUAAAGAACGAAAGUUAGGGGAUCGAAGAUGAUUAGAUACCGUCGUAGUCCUAGACUAUAAACAAUACUAACUAUGGAUUUGGGGGGCCGACAGCAGAUGAAUCUGUUGAAAGGGCGCGUGAGGACAUUGCGAGAAAUCAUUGAGUAUUUGAGUUCCGGGGGGAGUAUGGUUGCAAGACUGAAACUUAAAGGAAUUGACGGAGGGGCACCACAAGGCGUGGAGCUUGCGGCUUAAUUUGACUCAACACGGAGAAACUUACCAGACCAAGACAUCAUUGAGGAUUGACAGACGAGGAGGUUUUUCGAGAUAGGAUGGGAGGUGGUGCAUGGCCGUUCUUAGUUGGUGGAGUGAUUUGUCAGGUUAAUUCCGAUAACGAACGAGAUUUUAGUGGAAGAGACGCAAGGGGAACAUCUUUUUGUUUUUUUGUGGUUAUUUCAGAUGGAUAGGAAAAUAAACUAUAGGAAGAUUAAAGUGAUAACAGGUCUGUGAUGCCC
rnacentral:rRNA from 1 species